rnacentral:rRNA from 1 species
UACGUAGGGGGCAAGCGUUGUCCGGAAUCAUUGGGCGUAAAGCGCGCGUAGGCGGCCCGGUAAGUCCGCUGUAAAAGUCCAGGGCUUAACCCUGGAAAGCCGGUGGAUACUGUCGGGCUCGAGUCCGGAAGAGGCGAGUGGAAUUCCUGGUGUAGCGGUGGAAUGCGCAGAUAUCAGGAGGAACACCGAUGGCGAAGGCGGCAACCUGGGCCAAUACUGACGCUGAGGUGCGAAAGCGUGGGGAGCGAACAGG